rnacentral:rRNA from 1 species
AGUGAACGCUGGCGGCAGGCCUAACACAUGCAAGUCGAGCGGCAGCGGGUCCUUCGGGAUGCCGGCGAGCGGCGGACGGGUGAGGAAUGCAUCGGAAUCUGCCCUGUCGUGGGGGAUAACCUAGGGAAGCUUAGGCUAAUACCGCAUACGACCCACGGGUGAAAGCGGGGGAUCGCAAGACCUCGCGCGAUAGGAUGAGCCGAUGUCCGAUUAGCUAGUUGGCGGGGUAAAGGCCCACCAAGGCGACGAUCGGUAGCUGGUCUGAGAGGAUGAUCAGCCACACUGGGACUGAGACACGGCCCAGACUCCUACGGGAGGCAGCAGUGGGGAAUAUUGGACAAUGGGCGCAAGCCUGAUCCAGCCAUGCCGCGUGGGUGAAGAAGGCCUUCGGGUUGUAAAGCCCUUUUGUCCGGGAAGAAAUCGUCUGGGCUAAUACCCCGGGCGGAUGACGGUACCGGAAGAAUAAGCACCGGCUAACUUCGUG